rnacentral:lncRNA from 1 species
AAUAACUCCAGCAGGAGAGGAAAAAAGCCACCUUUGGGAGCAGUGGAGCUUCUCAGCUGGCCAGGCAGGAGCCACCCUAAGCCUUCAAGGACUCUUGAUUAAUGGAUGCCAAAUUACAGACAAAGCCAUUAAAGCUUUAGUUAAAAAGCAUGGAAACAGCCCCCAGGUACGUAGUUGUAUAUUCUUAGUUGUGGGUCCUUCUAGUUGUGGCAUGUGGGACACCGCCUCAACGUGGCUUGAUGAGCAGUGCCAUGUCUGCGCCCAGGAUUCGAACCGACGAAACACUGGGCUGCCUGCAGCGGAGCGCGCCAACUUAACCACCCCGCCACGG